CCGGCCCCGCGCGGCGGGAGCGGGAGGAGGUGGCGCCCGCCGGACUACCGCGGGGUCAGAGCUGGGGGGUCGGGGGGACCGCUUGCGGGGCUCACCGUCUCCAGGGUGGCACCUUUGUGUGUGUUUUAACAGAGACAGAGGUCUAGCUGUGUUGCCCAGGCUGGUCUCGACCUCCUGGGCUCAGGCGACCCUCCCGCCUCGGCCUCCCAGUAGCCGCGACUACAGGCGCGUGCCACGGCGCGGGAGGAUGUCCCGUUUAAACCAAGGUGUCGGCUGCUGACACUGUAGCUCAGACCCACAGGCAAGUCUGCGCAAACCUCGCAUGCUUCUCGUCUUCCGGGCCGAGCCCCCAGGCGCAUUCACCCAGCAUCCUUCCUCCCGGGUGUGAAGGAGGACCCUCUGGAAUGGCGGUGUUAUGACCUGCAGUCAGACAAGGAGUUAGUGGACAUGUGUAUGCAAUCAACACAAACCCUGAUGCAAGAAGAAAGUGUCCCAAAAGGAGUUUGGAUGACAGGCAAGGCAUCUGGCAAAGAGAAAAUCACCUCUGAUGCAGGAGACCCUGCAGAGCUUUUGGGGAGCAUCUCUCAAGCUGCCUCCUCAAGGAGAUCUGAGAUCCGGGAGGAGGCCGGACCUGCCAGGCCAGACCAACAGGCUGGGAGAGGUCAUUGCCAGGAAGAGGCCCUUCGCCAGGAACUGAAUCAACCAGCACCUUGAUCUUGGACUUCACAUACUCCAGAACAGUGGAGUAUGUUGCAAACCUGUGCACACAGGUGGAACCCAGCAGCGCCGGAAGCUGUGCCGUUGCGUAACUGGUACAGCAGGAAUCCCACAGCACUCUUCCACGUCCAUCUCACGGGGCAGGCCUGGGUCACGUGGCCACUCCAGCUGCACGGCAGGCUGAGACGCGGUUCUUAGCUCUGCUUGUCUCUAGAAGAGACGGAAAAGGGAGAAGGGGAACUGGAACCAGUUUAGCUACAUACAGGAAGAGAUACUCCUAAUCUUUGGACUCUGUAGUGUCUGGACCUGCUGCCUCCAUCUUGGUUCCAGCCUGGGCAGGAAGCAAGUGCUGAGAAGGCCGGAGCAGAGAGAUAGCAAAACCAGCACCCGAGAUCGACAGCGCAAACGGAAAGUGGGCAAAGUAUGUGAAGACAAAGUUCACAGAGAAGGAAAAACAAGUAGCCCUUAAGCAUAGGAAAAAAAUGGUCAAUCUCACUUAUAACAAGAGAAAUUAAAAUUGAAAUAACACUUGUGAUACCACUUUUCACCUACAGACUGGCAAAAAUCCAAAUGUUUGACCACACAUUCUGUUAUUCAUGUACAGUGGGGUAUGCAAUCGCAACACAGCUUGGAAAUACUCAGGAACUAGAAAGUUCUUCAAUGAAUAAGAAACUCAAUUAAAGACAGCAAGAUGGACUGCAGAGCUAAAGACGCCAGGUUAAGGAAGCCCAAGGUGGCCAUGUUACCACCCCAAGUUGCAACUCCUGAGAACCAUCUCCAGAUCUGGAGGCUGUGGACCAACAGACGUCUCAUGCAUGGAGGGCAAAUGGCACAGCUCCCUGUGGAGGGGAAGAGUGAACAAAGGAACCCAUGAACUGGGAUCUCUGGGUCCCCACUGAGACGCUGUAUCAGCUGACCCAGAGCACACUCUCCACAGGACUUCCUCUUAAAUGACACAAUAAAUAUCCUUGCCAAAUAAACCAGUUUGGGUAGGAUUUCUGUUAUCUAGAACCAAAAAUAUCUGAAUGAUACCCCUGACCCCCACCCUGGCCCAGGAGCAAUGCUGUCCUGAUCAGAAGCCAGAUUACAGAGUCUGGAUGGGUCAUCCCAUGACUAGCCAAAUCCAAACAGGUAUAAGUCCAAAAGCUGAGAUCAUCGCUGACAGCAGAAUCCCUCCCAGGGAAUGGGCCAUGAGCCACUCCAAAAGCAGUGGGUGGGCAACUGCCUGGGGUUAUAUUCACUCCUCGUGGUCUUGGGAGGAGUUGCCUCCUGAGUGUUUAGAAGUCCUGGUGGAAUUCAGGUGUAGAGAUGGUUCCAAGGUGCUGGAACUUGGGGUGGUAACAUGGCUGCCCUGGGCUUUCUUGACUUGCUGUCAUGAGCUAUCAGGUUUAUCUGAUUGUCUUUAGUUGAGUUUCUUAUUCACUGAAGAACUUUCUGGUUCCUGAGUAUUUCUAAAUUGUGUGGCAAUUGCAUACCCCACUGUAAAUGAAUAAAUUGGCCUUCUGUUUGCCUUUUGAGAAAUUACUAGUGAAGAAUGGACAGGCCCAGUGGAAUCCCUCAGUCCAACAUUCCUCACUAAUGACUUUUUUGGUCUGAAACGUGUUUGAAAACAGUUGGCUCCUGCCCUCAAGCUACCCUGCUUCAUGAACUGAAUUUCAUAAUCCAUGCCCACUAUACUGAACCUAGUGACUGGGACAAACUUCCAGGGCAGUCAUAGCGUGGACAGCUGCCACCUGUAUCAAUGUGUAGGGCCUGCAUCAACCCUGCCCAAGUGUUCUCUGCAGAGAGUGAGCAUACCUGGCUUCUGGGCUUGGGAGCCCCUAGGGCUCCGGGAUCCAAAGGACUUGGUUUGCUCCCUUCAAAGAUAGAGGCAGGAGCAGGACCAGGGAAUAACCAGUUGUGCCGAUGAGGGGUACUCUGAUGCCCCCGGUGCAGCUCUAGGUCUGCUAGGGGCAGGAAGAGGUGUGCAAGUGGGCCAAGCGUCCCUGGCAGUGCUUCCUAUUUGAUCAUGUGUAGCAGCCACAUGGUGAGAGCAAGAAGAUGCAGAGAAGUGUGGGGUCUUUGCAAAGGCAGAACAGUGAGUGUAGGUGCCAGGUGGGCCACAGUGCCUUGGGCUAAUGGUUGUAUCUCCAAAGACGGGUAGAUGCUGGCUUCCUCCUUAACAUCAGUCCAGCACCCCCCUCCCCACGCCCAAGGCCUUGGUCUGUGGGCCUGGCAUUCUCCCAGCCUCCUCUCCACCAUGUCUCCAGCAAGUGUCCUGUCAUCAGCCUUACCCCACGCUGAUUACUGCUCUCAGCACAUGUAUGUUUAGUUUAGACUCUGCUGUUGUUUUGUAAUUGUUUGUGGGUUGUGUCAUAUGUGUAUGUUGUGUCUAAGGUGGAUGGAGGCCCCUGAGAUGAGGAUCUGUCUUCUAGUUUUCUUCAAACAUCACCCUCCUCCUCCACAACCACCACCAAUAAUAACUAGCACCUAAUGCAGGGCAUUACGUAACGCAGACACAAUGCCUGUGAGUGAGUUCACAGCACAGGCGCUCAGAGUUUGCCCCACUGAACACAAACAGCACACAGGUGAGAAGCCGAGUUUUCAGAGCUGAGGACUGGCGUAGGGAGGAGCCCUUUGCUUUUGCAGUUGGUUUAACAGACGAAGGAUUUGCCCCGAUGGGGCUGUUAGAAUAACAAAAAUAGUAGAAGACGUGUUCCAUAACCUCACAAAGCAUAUGUACAUGUGAAUAUUCUUCACAGAGCUGGGAAAUAAUUAAAACAACAAUUUGCAGACAUCACAGCCUCCUGGCUUAGCAGGUAAGUGUUAAAAGAGAGAAGAUUUGGCUUUGGCUUUGGAAAAUCCAAAACAGCUUUUUCCAAAAGUCUUCACUGUGCGAUUCCUUGAGAUAUCAGCCUAUAUGUCUUAAAUGAUUU